GUAGGUGGCAAGCGUUGUCCGGAAUUAUUGGGCGUAAAGCGCGCGCAGGUGGGUUCUUUAAGUCUGAUGUGAAAGCCCCCGGGCUCAACCGGGGGAGGGUCAUUGGAAACUGGGGAACUUGAGUGCAGGAGAGGAAAGUGGAAUUCCACGUGUAGCGGUGAAAUGCGUAGAUAUGUGGAGGAACACCAGUGGCGAAGGCGACUUUCUGGCCUGUAACUGACACUGAGGCGCGAAAGCGUGGGGAGCAAACAGGAUUAGAUACCCUGGUAGUCCACGCCGUAAACGAUGAGUGCUAAGUGUUGGGGGGGUUUCCGCCCCUCAGUGCUGCAGCUAACGCAUUAAGCACUCCGCCUGGGGAGUACGGUCGCAAAGACUG
rnacentral:rRNA from 1 species